rnacentral:rRNA from 1 species
UGAUUCUCAGGCGCUUGAGAGAACUCUGGAGAAGGAACUCGGCAAAUUGACACCGUAACUUCGGGAGAAGGUGUGCCUCUAGUAGGUGAACCCGUACAGGGGGAGCCCAAUGAGGUCUCAGAAAAUCGGUGGCUGCGACUGUUUAUUAAAAACACAGCACUCUGCAAACACGAAAGUGGACGUAUAGGGUGUGACGCCUGCCCGGUGCUGGAAGGUUAAGUGAUGGGGUGCAAGCUCCUGAUCGAAGCCCCAGUAAACGGCGGCCGUAACGAUAACGGUCCUAAGGUAGCGAAAUUCCUUGUCGGGUAAGUUCCGACCUGCACGAAUGGCGUAACGCUGGCCACACUGUCUCCUCCAGAGACUCAGCGAAGUUGAAAUGGUUGUGAUGAUGCAAUCUACCCGCGGCUAGACGGAAAGACCCCGUGCACCUUUACUGUAACUUUGCAUAGGACUGUGAACCGAUCUGUGUAGGAUAGCUGGGAGGCUUUGAAGUGGGGGCGCUAGCUCUCAUGGAGCCAACGUUGAAAUACCAGCCUGAUUGUUUUGCGGUUCUAACCUAGGCUCGUCAUCCGGGCCGGGGAUCGUGCAUGGUAGGCAGUUUGACUGGGGCGGUCUCCUCCCAAAGAGUAACGGAGGAGUACGAAGGUACGCUUACCACGGUCGGAAAUCGUGGCUUAAUGUGCAUUGGCAAAAGCGUGCUUGACUGCGAGACGUACAUGUCGAGCAGGUGCGAAAGCAGGUCAAAGUGAUCCGGUGGUUCUGUAUGGAAGGGCCAUCGCUCAACGGAUAAAAGGUACGCCGGGGAUAACAGGCUGAUUCCUCCCAAGAGUUCAUAUCGACGGGGGAGUUUGGCACCUCGAUGUCGGCUCAUCACAUCCUGGGGCUGUAGCCGGUCCCAAGGGUAUGGCUGUUCGCCAUUUAAAGUGGUACGUGAGCUGGGUUUAAAACGUCGUGAGACAGUUUGGUCCCUAUCUACCGUGGGCGUUGGAAGUUUGAGGGGGGCUGCUCCUAGUACGAGAGGACCGGAGUGGACGCAUCCCUGGUGUACCGAUUGUCACGCCAGUGGCAUUGUCGGGUAGCUAUAUGCGGAAGGGAUAACCGCUGAAAGCAUCUAAGCGGGAAACCUGCCCCAAGAUGAGACUUCCCGGAGGCUUGACCUCCCUGAAGGGUCGUCCUAGACCAGGACGUUGAUAGGCUGGGUGUGCAAGGGCUGCGAGGCCUUCAGCUAACCAGUACUAAUUGCCCGUGUGGCUUGACCCU